rnacentral:rRNA from 1 species
UACGUAGGUGGCAAGCGUUGUCCGGAUUUAUUGGGUUUAAAGGGUGCGUAGGCGGCCCCAUAAGUCAGUGCUGAAAUACUCUAGCUCAACUAGAGGGGUGGCAUUGAUACUGCGGGGCUUGAGUGGAGUCGAGGUAGGCGGAAUUGACGGUGUAGCGGUGAAAUGCUUAGAUAUCGUCAAGAACACCGAUAGCGAAAGCAGCUUACUAGACUGUAACUGACGCUGAUGCACGAAAGUGUGGGGAUCAAACAGG